CUGGGGUCUAAUACCGGAUAUGACCUCGGGAUGCAUGUUCUGGGGUGGAAAGUUUUUCGGUGCAGGAUGAGCCCGCGGCCUAUCAGCUUGUUGGUGGGGUAAUGGCCUACCAAGGCGACGACGGGUAGCCGGCCUGAGAGGGCGACCGGCCACACUGGGACUGAGACACGGCCCAGACUCCUACGGGAGGCAGCAGUGGGGAAUAUUGCACAAUGGGCGCAAGCCUGAUGCAGCGACGCCGCGUGAGGGAUGACGGCCUUCGGGUUGUAAACCUCUUUCACCCAUGACGAAGCGCAAGUGACGGUAGUGGGAGAAGAAGCACCGGCCAACUACGUGCCAGCAGCCGCGGUAAUACGUACGGGUGCGAGCGUUGUCCGGAAUUACUGGGCGUAAAGAGCUCGUAGGCGGUUUGUCGCGUCGUCUGUGAAAUCCCGCAGCUCAACUGCGGGCUUGCAGGCGAUACGGGCAGAGUCGAGUACUGCAGGGGAGACUGGAAUUCCUGGUGUAGCGGUGAAAUGCGCAGAUAUCAGGAGGAACACCGGUGGCGAAGGCGGGUCUCUGGGCAGUAACUGACGCUGAGGAGCGAAAGCGUGGGUAGCGAACAGGAUUAGAUACCCUGGUAGUCCACGCCGUAAACGGUGGGCGCUAAGGUGUGGGUUUCCUUCCACGGGAUCCGUGCCGUAGCCAACGCAUUAAGCGCCCCGCCUGGGGAGUACGGCCGCAAGGCUAAAACUCAAAGGAAUUGACGGGGGCCCGCACAAGCGGCGGAGCAUGUGGAUUAAUUCGAUGCAACGCGAAGAACCUUACCUGGGUUUGACAUGUACCGGACGACUGCAGAGAUGUGGUUUCCCUUGUGGCCGGUUGACAGGUGGUGCAUGGCUGUUGUCAGCUCGUGUCGUGAGAUGUUGGGUUAAGUCCCGCAACGAGCGCAACCCUUGUCCUGUGUUGCCAGCACGUGAUGGUGGGGACUCGCAGGAGACUGCCGGGGUCAACUCGGAGGAAGGUGGGGACGACGUCAAGUCAUCAUGCCCCUUAUGUCCAGGGCUUCACACCUGCUACAAUGGUCGGUACAGAGGGCUGCGAGACCGUGAGGUGGAGCGAAUCCCUUAAAGCCGGUCUCAGUUCGGAUCGGGGUCUGCAACUCGACCCCGUGAAGUCGGAGUCG
rnacentral:rRNA from 1 species